rnacentral:rRNA from 1 species
UGGGGAAUAUUGCACAAUGGGGGAAACCCUGAUGCAGCGACGCCGCGUGGAGGAAGAAGGUCUUCGGAUUGUAAACUGCUUUAGACAGGGAAGAAAUAAGACAGUACCUGUAGAAUAAGCUCCGGCUAACUACGUGCCAGCAGCCGCGGUAAUACGUAGGGAGCAAGCGUUAUCCGGAUUUAUUGGGUGUAAAGGGUGCGUAGACGGAAAGGCAAGUUAGUUGUGAAAUCCCUCGGCUUAACUGAGGAACUGCAACUAAAACUAUCAUUCUUGAGUACUGGAGGGGAAAGCGGAAUUCCUAGUGUAGCGGUGAAAUGCGUAGAUAUUAGGAAGAACACCGGUGGCGAAGGCGGCUUUCUGGACAGUAACUGACGUUGAGGCACGAAAGUGUGGGGAGCAAACAGGAUUAGAUACCCUGGUAGU